CGUGUGUUUUUUUUGUUUGAAAUUGUGUGCUCUGUGAUUUUGCUUGAGAUGCUAGUACAAGAUGAUAGCUGCUAUUUAUUGUUGCAUAUUAGGCUCUUGAGACAUUGCAUAUAAUAUUUGCUUGAUGUUAGUGUUGGAUUAUUGUACUUUCAACUGGUUUUUAGUGUAAUGGUUGCUUGUAAUAAUGAGUGAUUGCUUGAUUAAAUACCUGAAUGGGUUCCAUGGAAGAUUUUUCCUUUAGUUACGAGGUGCAUAGAUCCCAUGCUUCAUUGUGUUUUACAGAAUGAGGGGAGAUAAACUUCAUAGUGAAUUUUAUCAACAUAUACCUUCACAUCAGUUAUUACAACAAUCGUUUUCAAUUGCACCCGUUCUUAUACUGGAUUUUGCUACCUUUCUAUGUUUGACUCGUUAAGUAUACUAGUAAAAGAGUAUGUUAAAUGAAAAUUUUAUAGUGUGUUUAUUUGUGUUGAUAAAAUCUAUCAAAAUGUGGGAGAGGACUUGUUUCAGAAAAUGUGAGAUCUGCUCCUUAAACUCUGUACAAAUGUUCUGUUGUGCAAAGAUUGAACACCAACCAUCAUUGUAUAAACUCACCAAGACCCACCAAUGAUUUCAAUACUGGCUGUUCACUUGACAAGUGUACUUGUAUGUUCUGUAACAACCAAAUGAACUUGUUUUAUAGCUUUGUUUAAGCAGUUAUAAAUUAAUGAAAGAGGCUC